UACGUAGGGGGCGAGCGUUGUCCGGAAUUACUGGGCGUAAAGGGUGCGUAGGCGGCGCUUUAAGUUGGAUGUGAAAUACCCGGGCUUAACCUGGGGGGUGCAUUCAAAACUGGGGUGCUGGAGUGCAGAAGAGGGAAGCGGAAUUCCUAGUGUAGCGGUGAAAUGCGUAGAUAUUAGGAGGAACACCAGUGGCGAAGGCGGCUUUCUGGUCUGUAACUGACGCUGAAGCACGAAAGCGUGGGGAGCAAACAGG
rnacentral:rRNA from 2 species